rnacentral:rRNA from 1 species
GACGUAGGGUGCGAGCGUUGUCCGGAUUUAUUGGGCGUAAAGAGCUCGUAGGCGGCUCGUCGCGUCAUCCGUGAAAACCCGCAGCUUAACUGCGGGCUUGCGGUUGAUACGGGCGGGCUAGAGUUCGGUAGGGGAGACUGGAAUUCCUGGUGUAGCGGUGAAAUGCGCGAUAUCAGGAGGAACACCGGUAGCGAAGGCGGGUCUCUGG